rnacentral:rRNA from 1 species
CAUUAGCCGCGGGAAUACGUAGGGUGCGAACGUUAAUCGGAAUUACUGGGCGUAAAGCGUGCGCAGGCGGUUGUGUAAGACAGGUGUGAAAUCCCCGGGCUUAACCUGGGAACUGCGCUUGUGACUGCACAGCUAGAGUAUGGCAGAGGGGGGUGGAAUUCCACGUGUAGCAGUGAAAUGCGUAGAGAUGUGGAGGAACACCGAUGGCGAAGGCAGCCCCCUGGGCCAAUACUGACGCUCAUGCACGAAAGCGUGGGGAGCAAACAGGAUUAGAUACCCGCGUAGUCCCUGUCUCUUAUAC